AUACGUAGGGGGCGAGCGUUGUCCGGAAUUACUGGGCGUAAAGAGCUCGUAGGUGGUUUGUCGCGUCGUCUGUGAAAUUCCGGGGCUUAACUCCGGGCGUGCAGGCGAUACGGGCAUAACUUGAGUACUGUAGGGGAGACUGGAAUUCCUGGUGUAGCGGUGAAAUGCACAGAUAUCAGGAGGAACACCGGUGGCGAAGGCGGGUCUCUGGGCAGUAACUGACGCUGAGGAGCGAAAGCAUGGGUAGCGAACAGGAUUAGAUACCCUGGUAGUCCAUGCCGUAAACGGUGGGCGCUAGGUGUAGGGGUCUUCCACGACUUCUGUGCCGUAGCUAACGCAUUAAGCGCCCCGCCUGGGGAGUACGGCCGCAAGGCUAAAACUCAAAGGAAUUGACGGGG
rnacentral:rRNA from 1 species